AUGAUCUUCUAUUUGUAUGGAGAGACUAUGUUUAUAUUGUCUUCUGCAUGUACAUUUGAUAGGCUAGAGCUAAUGUGAAUGGUGUCAAUAAUUCGCUGGCAAGAGCAGCUAGCGAAGGCUAAACUGAAGCUGCCAAAUGCUUGCCAUAGAUUGCUGCAAACCCAAACCGUCCAGAUGAGGAUUCAAGUCUAUACUUGCACCCUCUUACUGGCCUUUGCUGUGGUGCGUCGGCCUCCGACGAAAGACCGGAAGUUUGCAGUAGGAGCAGCAUCUUUGACCCCUUCCUGACGAGCUGCAGGUCGUAGACGAGGUCCCAGUCAAGGUAGGGGGAGACUGUUCUUGCGGAGGGCAAGAAGAUGGAUGGAUGGUGUAAAACUGAGCUUGUGCAUUUUGGGUUGCUGCUGAAUGUUCUGGUGGUGUUCCCGACUCGGGCCUGAUUGAUGGGUUGGUGUUUUGUAUUCAAGUGAUGCUGUCUGGCUCUCCUUAGCUUGUGGUGUGAGUGAAGAAGGACAGAUGAACGUCGUCAUGGUGAAGCCCGAGGCCAUGAUGAUGGAUGGAGCAUUGUCGCCGUCAAGAUUCAGGCCUAUACAUGCACCCUCUUGCUGGCCUUCGACGUGGUGCCUCGGCCUCCCAUAGAAGACCGGAAGUUUACAACAGCAGCAUCUCCGACCCCUUCCCGACGAGCUGCAUGUCGUAGACAAGGUCCCAGCGGAGGUGCCUGUGCAAUGAUGCGUCGAAAGCUUUGUUGGCGUCGCCCAGUUGCUGUUGGGCUCUUGUUAUCUUGUGGUGCGACCGAAUAAGGAUGGACCGACGGAGGUCGUGGUGGUGAAGCCCGAGGACAUGAUGGAUGGAACCGUUUGUUGCUGUUCGUCGAGAUUAGUUGUUUCAAGAAUUGUUGUGCUGUGUUGGUAGGAUGGAUGCAUUGGAGUAGAUAGGUAGGUAGGUAGGUACUUGGAUAUCAUCCAUCCUGGUAGUGGUAUUGAUGGAUGGUAUAGGA